GAUGAACGCUGGCGGUGUGCCUAAUACAUGCAAGUCGAGCGAACAGACGAGGAGCUUACUCCUCUGACGUUAGCGGCGGACGGGUGAGUAACACGUGGAUAACCUACCUAUAAGACUGGGAUAACUUCGGGAAACCGGAGCUAAUACCGGAUAACAUGUUGAACCGCAUGGUUCAACAGUGAAAGACGGUCUUGCUGUCACUUAUAGAUGGAUCCGCGUCGCAUUAGCUAGUUGGUAAGGUAACGGCUUACCAAGGCAACGAUGCGUAGCCGACCUGAGAGGGGGAUGGGCCACCGGGGAACGGAGACACGGCCCAGACCCCCAGGGGGGGCAGAAGGGGGAAACUUCCCCAAGGGGGGGAAACCCGACGGGGGAAACCCCGGGGAGGGAAAAAGGUUUUUGGAACCGAAAAACUCUUUUUUUGGGAAAAAAAAAAGGGGAAAGAAACUUGCACCGUUUGGAGGGACCCAAACAAAAAAGCCCGGGGAACCCCGGG
rnacentral:rRNA from 1 species